rnacentral:rRNA from 1 species
CCUGAUGCAGCGACGCCGCGUGAGGGAUGACGGCCUUCGGGUUGUAAACCUCUUUCAGCAGGGAAGAAGCGAAAGUGACGGUACCUGCAGAAGAAGCGCCGGCUAACUACGUGCCAGCAGCCGCGGUAAUACGUAGGGCGCAAGCGUUGUCCGGAAUUAUUGGGCGUAAAGAGCUCGUAGGCGGCUUGUCACGUCGGAUGUGAAAGCCCGAGGCUUAACCUCGGGUCUGCAUUCGAUACGGGCUAGCUAGAGUGUGGUAGGGGAGAUCGGAAUUCCUGGUGUAGCGGUGAAAUGCGCAGAUAUCAGGAGGAACACCGGUGGCGAAGGCGGAUCUCUGGGCCAUUACUGACGCUGAGGAGCGAAAGCGUGGGGAGCGAACAGGAUUAGAUACCCUGGUAGUCCACGCCGUAAACGUUGGGAACUAGGUGUUGGCGACAUUCCACGUCGUCGGUGCCGCAGCUAACGCAUUAAGUUCCCCGCCUGGGGAGUACGGCCGCAAGGCUAAAACUCAAAGGAAUUGACGGGGGCCCGCACAAGCGGCGGAGCAUGUGGCUUAAUUCGACGCAACGCGAAGAACCUUACCAAGGCUUGACAUAUACCGGAAAGCAUUAGAGAUAGUGCCCCCCUUGUG